AAAGAUUUAUCAAUGAACUGAGUGACCAUUUGAAUGAGCAAUCAUUCAGCACAGUCAAUUCACUCUCGAAAGAGAGUAUCAGUAUUCAUUGAGCCGAAGCGAAAGCUUCAAAAACUUUUAAUUGAAGAGUU
rnacentral:rRNA from 1 species